ensembl:lncRNA
CUCUUAUGCAGUGCUUUGGCUCUAUGAAAGAAACACUGUGGCCCUAUGAUUUCAGAUCAUUGUUAUAAUGCAGUUGAAAACUACACAUUGUCUCAAGCCUUUAUCCCUGUGGAUUUAUAUACCUAAAUCUCAGAGUAGGGGGCUAUGAAUUAUACAAGUUUAGAGAGAAUCUGCUAGUGCCUGAUGGAAAAGAUAGACUAGGUCAUAUUUAAAUUUUGUGUUUGUUCAGUGUAAAUGUUUCAGUCAUUUUCAUUAACAUUUGUUAAAAAAUGAUGCUUUAAGGGGUAGGAAAAAAAAAAGGAUUAUAUUAGCUAUGUCCCUGGGGAAAGACAAAUGCCAAUCUCAUGUGCCCAGGUUAGUCUCUUGACACAGCAGAAUGAGCAGACCAGACAGGAGGGUAAAUAAGCUAAUACUACAGGUGCCUUCUUACUGGGGCAAAAACUUGAUGAGUCCUCAUUUCUGCCAGAUCUAACAAUCAAUUCUCCUGAGGGGUGGUUGGAGCCAGCAACAGAAAUGACUGUGAUGGGCUGGCUGUGCUGCACGGUUGCUGAGGAGCCAGCUCGGGCAUUUCCUGCAACGUCUGUGGGAUACGGAGGUCACUGGGACAAGAGACACUCUGAAAAGCCAUGUCAAGGAAAAAAAGGCGUAUCAUAGAAUCAUUAAGGUUGGAAAGACCAAUAAAAUCACCUGAUCCAACCAUCAGCCCAUAUCUGUGACUGCUCUAGACCAUGUUCCCCAGUGCCACAUCUCCAUCUUUCUCGAACACCUCCAGGGAUGGUGACUCCACCAAAUCCUUGAGCAAUCUGUUUCAGUGCUUUAGAGCUUUUUCUGAGAAUAAAUUUUUCUUAAUAUCCAACCAGAACCAACCCUGACACAACUUAAGGCUAUUACUUCUCAUCCUAUUGCUGUUACCUGGGAAAAGAUGCUGACCCCCACCUCACUAAUUUUCUUUCAGGCAGCUGUAGAGAGGUGGUGGUGGGGUAUCACUUGUGGAUGGCCAGACUUUGAGCAGUUAUCGGUCAGAAACUGAAGAGAAAUUGAUGGGCGAAUCCUUACUGAGAUGGAAAUGUACUGGUCUGGAAGGACAAUGGCCAUAGGAACAGGAGAAGACAUCAGAGUUGCUCAAGAAGCCACAUGGGUAACAGCACACUGAAGUCUGGCCACAAGCACAGCUGCACCAUGAGUAUAUUUUCUUUUUACAUGGGUAGACAGUGACAGGACAAGGAGAAAUGGUCUUAAACGAAAGGAGGGGAGAUUUAGAUUAGAUGUCAGGGGUGUUUUUCACUGAGAGAGUGGAGAGGUGCCGGAACAGGGUGUCCAGAGAGGCUGUGGAUGACCUGUCCCUGCAGAUGUUCAAGGCCAAGUUGGAUGGGGUGCUGGGCAACCUAGAUCAAGUUCUAACCUGCAGCAGGGGGUUGGGACAUGAUAUUCCUUGAAAUCCUUUCCAACCCAAGCCAUUCUGUGAUUCUGUGAGUCUAUGAUUUUUGUCUUACAGUUCAGAAAUGAUCCUGUGAGAUGUGGGAGGGCUUAUUGGAAUUGGAGCUAGAAAUUCAUCAGGCUGAUACAGACUGGGCAGCAACAGAGCAGGUGAGAAGAAUGAACAGGUUUGAGUUCCAGAGUUCCAGAUGAGAAGAAUAAAAAGUUUUUUUUUGUUUUAUUUAUUUAUUUAUUUAUUUAUUUAUUUAUUGUGGUGGUGGUGGUGGUUUUCAUUUGGGUUUGGGUUGUUUGGUGUUUUUUUUUUUUUUUUUUUAUAUCUGAAUGAAUGUUUAAAUACCUCAUUCCCAACAAUGGGAGUCUUUGCAGCUGAUGACAGAUAAGGGACCAGGCUUUACUUCUAUAUUACAUGGUGUUGGAGACCACAUCUCAGUGACAUUUCCAAACGGUGUUGGCCAUGGCUGAUUUCUGCUAAGAGAGCCAUUAGAAAUGACCCUUCAGAUCAGUGAUAAAACUACGAAGUUGCAGUCACAUCCUGGAGGGAUGGAAUGAUGCUCAUCAUUCUUAUUUGAACACAGCUGCAGCUCACAUUAAUUCAACUUAAAUG